GUAACAAUCAUGCAACCUCAAUCUUGACGCUUUGGCUCAGCUGUAGCAAGUUGUUCAUAGUUAGAACAACACAUGGUGGGAAACGAACAUUGCUCGAUUGAGAAGCUUGCUGAAACCGUUGUAGUGCACGAUUUGACUCACGCAGAGCUUUGAGUUUCUCAUGAGCGGGCAGUUCAAAUUCCUCGUGACCACUUUGUCUGGUGGUCCAUUGUUUGCUUCCAUCAAAUUAAGAACCUACAUAUUUGUAUGUGCACUCACAUUUCAUAUUUUCUGUAAAGACAAUAAUAGCCUAAGUCGGUGAAUGUCUCCAAUAAAAUAGUUGACUAAUGUACCAACGAUUUUCUUUUUUAAAUAUAGGGCGCUGGUGUUCCUGCAGUGCGGUGCACAGAAUGUGAAGGUGGUGGCUAAGGGCGGUGCUGGAAAUUAAGAACCUAAAUUUUUGUAUGUGUACUCACAUUUCAUAUUUCCGUAAAGACAAUAAUAGCCUAAGUUGGUGAAUGUCUCCAAUAAAAUAAUUUACUAAUGUACAAACGAUUUUCUUUUGGGAAAUACAGGGCGCUGGUCUUCGUGCAGUGAGGAGCACAGCACUGAAGGUGAAGGUGAAGGUGGUGUCGUAUGAUGAGCAAUUUUUUGAGCAAAAAAUAAAUAAAAAAUUCGCCUGAUGAUAACGGAUGAGUGUGGAGGUUAAAUCCAAAAAUACGCCUAUUCACUUUAUCAACGGCGAUCUUCGCAUCAGCACAAUAAACAAAGGCCUCCAAUGUACUCUACCAACUACACAUUACAAUAUCAUAAAAAGAACCCUGGAACAAAUGAUGAGCGAGAAGCGGAUGUUUUGACUAAGGAAAUGCCAACCUGUUACGAUAUCGAAGGAUCUUGGUUCUUCUGAAUAAAGACAACUUAGCGUUUCAAUAUAAGACUUAUUAUUUAUUCAUAACGAUCCACACAGGAGACUCAGAGAAUACAAAUACAAGUUAGAAAAGGAGUUACAGGUCACGCUUCAUAUUUAAUAUUGUCGAUCAAGUAAUCAUAAUAAAAGAGAUUAAGACAGAUUCAUCUCGUUGAUAAUGCUGAUAUGCUAACACGCCUCCUUAAAUUUAUAAUAAAUUCUUAUAGAUUUACAUCAAAUCAGCGCGAAACGCGCAUUGGCGCCUACAAACCUAAGUGGAUACUUCAAGCAUUGUGCAAUGCGUGAAGUAUCCACUUAGGUUUGUAGGCGCCAGUGAGCCUCUUGCGCUGGCAGCACGCCGCUCCGCUUUGUUCGGCUUUAAUAUUCAUACUCGCAUAGUCAGCGUUUUUUAACUCAUGAUUUUGAAAUGUUAGCACACUCUACAUUGAUUAUUCUCAUUUAAAUUGAUGGGAAAAAAUAUGUAUCAAUUUAUCAAAGGAGAAUAAUAAUAUAAUGUGUGUUUUUUAAAUAUUGGUGGUUCCGUGUCAAAUUUAAUGAAUUCCAAAGCACUUUAAUUUUUCUUUUACAUUUUGUGCUUUUAUUGUGCUGCCGCGAGGUGCACGCACAAUCAAACGCUCAAAAUUUGACGUAUUUGACCCUAAAAGAUCGAUGUGCAAAUGGGUUAAAACUAAAGAUUGCGGGCUACUUGGUUUUUUUUCCUCUUUUAUUAAUUUUUGCGGUUUCUGUCGGCACAACUGCGGCUCAUUGAGAUUAAUGUCGCUUAGAAAAGGUUAUACAAAUAUUUGUCACGUUUUAAAAAUAUAAAUGUUUUCAAAAUGAAGUAUAAUUUCGUAAAGAAAAAAUAAAAAAAAGAAGAAAAAAGUACCUACACAAAUAUAAGGUAUAUAUUGUGCAUUCAAUAUUUUAAGGAUAGAAAUAAAACCAAAUAUUCGCCAAUGACAAUUUAAAAAGAUGAUUCAAAAGGAGAAAGUA
rnacentral:lncRNA from 1 species